rnacentral:rRNA from 1 species
GAGAAACCCAAAAGAUCGAAUGGGGAGAUUCAUCGUCAGCCGCUUUGGCUUCCGUGUGAACGCGAUGAUCGGGGCUUCGGCUCUGCGUCACGCGUUUGCUGCGGCAUGUCUGGAGUGGUCGGCGUGCACUUCUCCCCUAGUAGGACGUCGCGAUUCGUUGGGUGUCGGUUUACGGACCGGUAGGUCGCCUGGCGUAUCUCGUUCACGCGAGUUUGUGUCAGACCUCUGGAUUCCCAACCGGCUGCCCGGCGGUAUAAAACGAUAAUUAAACGGUAUUGGGCCGCAUUGAAUGCGUUCAGGCUCGUAGGCAGGCUUGUCUCGCUCGGAUUUACGGACCUAGUGCCGUUGCCGGGUGCUUGGCGAACUGUGGCUUGCGAUGUCCUCGGACUGGCUCUUGAAUAUUCUUACGAAUAUACCGAUCGGCGACGCUACUGCUUUGGGUACUUUCAGGACCCGUCUUGAAACACGGACCAA